GUCCUUUUGAUUUUUAUAUAAGGUCUGACCUGCCCUAUGAAUAUUUAAAUGGCCGCGGUAUACUAACCGUGCAAAGGUAGCAUAGUCAUUUGUCUCUUAAUUGGAGGCUUGAAUGAAGGGUUGGACGAGAUAUAAGCUUUCUUUGUUAUAUUUUAUUGAAUUUGACUUUUGAGUUAAAAGGCUUAAAUUUUUUUAUAGGACGAGAAGACCCUAUAGAAUUUUAUAUAUUUGUAUAAUCGAUUUAUUUAUUUAUUAUUUAAUUUUUUGUUUAAAUAUAUUUUGUUGGGGCGAUGGGAAGAUUUUAAUAACUCUUUUUUUUUCUAAUCAUUGAUUUAUGUUUUAUUCUGAUCCUUUUUUAGAGAUUAUAAGAUUAAAUUACCUUAGGGAUAACAGCGUAAUUCUUUUGGAGAGUUCUUAUCGAUAAAAGAGUUUGCGA
rnacentral:rRNA from 1 species